UACGAAGGGGGCUAGCGUUGUUCGGAUUUACUGGGCGUAAAGCGCACGUAGGCGGAUCGAUCAGUCAGGGGUGAAAUCCCAGAGCUCAACUCUGGAACUGCCUUUGAUACUGUCGAUCUGGAGUAUGGAAGAGGUGAGUGGAAUUCCGAGUGUAGAGGUUAAAUUCGUAGAUAUUCGGAGGAACACCAGUGGCGAAGGCGGCUCACUGGUCCAUUACUGACGCUGAGGUGCGAAAGCGUGGGGAGCAAACAGG
rnacentral:rRNA from 1 species